AACGAACGCUGGCGGCAUGCCUAACACAUGCAAGUCGAACGAGACCUUCGGGUCUAGUGGCGCACGGGUGCGUCACGCGUGGGAACCUGCCCUUAGGUUCGGAAUAACUCCCCGACAGGGGUGCUAAUACCGGAUAAUGUCUUCGGACCAAAGAUUCAUCGCCUUUGGAUGGGCCCGCGUUGGAUUAGCUAGUUGCUAGGGUAAAAGCCUACCACGGCGACGAUCCAUAGCUGGUCAGAGAGGAAGAUCAGCCACACUGGGACUGAGAUGCGGCCCAGACUCCUACGGGAGGCAGGAGUAGGGAAUAUUGGAAAAUGGGCGAAAGCCUGAUCCAGCAAGGCCGCGUGAGUGAUGAAGGCCUUAGGGUUGUAAAGCUCUUUUACCCGGGAUGAUAAUGACAGUACCGGGAGAAUAAGCUCCGGCUAACUCCGUG
rnacentral:rRNA from 1 species